rnacentral:rRNA from 1 species
GACGAACGCUGGCGGCGUGCCUAAUACAUGCAAGUAGAACGCACAGUUUAUACCGUAGCUUGCUACACCAUAAACUGUGAGUUGCGAACGGGUGAGUAACGCGUAGGUAACCUGCCUGGUAGCGGGGGAUAACUAUUGGAAACGAUAGCUAAUACCGCAUAAUAUUGAUUAUUGCAUGAUAAUUGAGUGUAAGAUGCUAUUGCAUCACUACCAGAUGGACCUGCGUUGUAUUAGCUAGUAGGUGAGGUAACGGCUCACCUAGGCGACGAUACAUAGCCGACCUGGGAAGGUGAUCGGCCACACUGGGAAUGAGACACGGGCCAGGCUUCUUCGGGAGGGCGCAGGAAGGAAACUUCCGGCAAGGACGGAAGUCUGAACGAGCAACGGCGGGUGGGUGGAGAAGGGUUUCGGAACGUAAAGAUCCGUUGAAUAGGAAGAACGAGUGGGGGAGUGAAAAGUUCACGUUGUGACGGUACCUAACCAGAAAGGCACGGCUAACUACGUG